GACAAACGCUGGCGGCGUGCAUAAAACAUGCAAGUCGAACGGGCCGAUCUCCGCAAGGAGAAAGGCUAGUGGCGAACGGCUGAGUAACACGUAGGUGACCUGCCCUGAAGUGGGGGAUAACAACUCGAAAGAGUUGCUAAUACCGCAUGUGACCACCGAUUCAUUUCGGUGCUCAAAGUCGUAAGACGCUUUAGGAGGGGCCUGCGGCGGAUUAGCUAGUUGGUGGGGUAACGGCCUACCAAGGCGUCGAUCCGUAGCUGGUCUGAGAGG
rnacentral:rRNA from 1 species